UCGUGAGCUUAGAAUUAUAAGGUUCUAUCUCCACUUUUGGUCGAAAUUGAGUUUUUGACAUAAUCUGAUCCAUUAGGUGUUUAUUAAUGCCAGUGUGGUGUUAUUUUUGUAAAAAAAAAAUAUUUUGUUAGUAGUUAUUAAUAAAAUAAAAAGGUUCCAUCUCACAAAACAUAAACCGAGUUGGGAUUAUAAGGUUCUAUCUCCAGUAGAUUCAAUAUCCAAUCAAAACCCUGAAUGAACACGGACGGACCAAUCAAAACCGACCUCUUAGCUCUGUAGCCUGGACACAGAGCUAAGGACUGGACAUUUGAAGCCGGCGAUGGCGCCCAAAAGACGCAAAUGUACAGACGCCAGCACUAGAAGAGAUCGAAAUGAUGAUAGUGGUGAAAGUCCUCCAAAGGUGGGCGCGGCAAAGAGGACAGCAGAUUCUAGUGGUUGGUACUUCUAUAGAUGGGUGGAAUUUCUCUUGUAUUUACCGUGGCUUUGUUUGUACAAUACCCAAACUAUGUUCUCAGUGUCAUAAAACAAAAUAAUAAACUGACACAUUAUUAUAAUAUUGGAUCAUGUAAUAAUAAAGAAUAUUUAGCUUGUC